UUGCAUCCAAUAAAGCAGAUUGUGUUCUUUUCCCCAUGGGUGCCCAGUGUGCAAUGACUGCAAAGAGCAGCCUUCUUGGUGGUGUACGCAGCCUGUUGCCUAUACAGUUGGCCCUAAGGGACCUUGGAGACAACU
ensembl:snoRNA SNORA70 Small nucleolar RNA SNORA70